rnacentral:rRNA from 1 species
GAUGAACGCUGGCGGCAUGCCUAAUACAUGCAAGUCAAACGGGUGUAGCAAUACACAAGUGGCGAACGGGUGAGUAACACAUAGACAACCUGUCCUUAAGACGAGGAUAACAGUUGGAAACGACUGCUAAAACUGGAUAGGAUAAAGUAACGCAUGUUAAGAUAUUUAAAGAUGCUUUCGGGCAUUACUUAAGGAGGGGUCUAUGUCGCAUUAGCUAGUUGGUGAGGUAAGGGCUCACCAAGGCGACGAUGCGUAGCUGUGCUGAGAGGCAAAACAGCCACACUGGGACUGAGACACGGCCCAGACUCCUACGGGAGGCAGCAGUAGGGAAUUUUCGGCAAUGGGGGGAACCCUGACCGAGCAAUGCCGCGUGAAUGAAGACGAUCUUCGGAUUGUAAAGUUCUGUUAUUGGGAAAGAAGAUAUGGCGAGGAAAUGCGUUAUAUUUGACGGUACCUGAUGAGAAAGCCCCGGCUAACUAUGUGCCAGC